AUGUAGUUUGUCCUAUAGGGGGGAAUAAAAAGAAACCACCUUUAAAAAUGAUAUGCCAUAUACCCUUGGUUUUCAUUUUGCAUUAUUUUGACAUGGGUUUUCUUUUGUGAAGAAAAAGUAAUAAAAAUCUGAUAGUCUAAGACUCCAUUAUUUAAAAGCCUAAUUACUUUUAAACUAUGCAUACUUUCAAACCUUUUACCAAAACACACAACCGCUGAAGCAUUCACUUCUCUAUGGAAGUAUGCAUAUCGGUGUCAGUUUCUUUGUACAGGUAAACUUAGAUAUUUUUUAUGAUUUUUAAAUAAAUGUAUUUUAUACACUUCCGUUGACAUAGAACACUUAGAAUUAAUCUGGUAUUUUUUGAUUUCUCGAAGUUAAAAUCAUAGAUUUUUUUUAGGUUUGAUAUGGUUGUGUCAUAAUCAUCUUGUAAUUGACAAUUUUGCUUUUUGGCAAUAAAAGAAAGUUGGGAUAUCUUUGAACUGUAAAACCUAGUUUAAUUCUUCUCUUUCUAGACUUUUGAUAGAUUGGAUAAUUAAACAGUACCCCAAGAAACUAAAGAAAUGGGCAUUUUAAUUGCUUACUUACGUUACAUUUAAGUGAAUACUACUCACGACAGUUUUACAAAGCGGAAGUGCUUACUGAUUCCAGUAACUGCAAUUUCUUUUUCAGCUAGAUGAGUGAUGGGAAAUUUUUUGUUGCAUUUCAAAAUCUAAAUAAACUACAGACUUUAUCCUUAUACCACGAAUGUUUUUUUAUAUAUGUAUACUUUGUCUUAAAAUAAUACAGCAUGAUACAAUAAAUAGUGCUUAUACAU
rnacentral:lncRNA from 1 species